AAGCUGUAGCAGUUAAUAUAAUGUGGUGUUUCGAUACAGAGAAGAUUAGCAUGGCCCCGACGCGAGGAUGACACGUAAAUUCACAAAGCAUUCCAUAUUUUU
ensembl:snRNA U6 U6 spliceosomal RNA